ensembl:snRNA U6 U6 spliceosomal RNA
GUGCUUGUUUCAGCAGCACAUAUACUAAAAUUGGAACAAUUCAGGGAAGAUUAGCAUGUAUGCAAAUUCAUGAAGCACUCCAUAUUUUA